AGCGAACGCUGGCGGCAGGCCUAACACAUGCAAGUCGAACGAAGCCUUCGGGCUUAGUGGCGGACGGGUGAGUAACACGUGGGAACGUACCUUUUGGUUCGGAACAACUCAGGGAAACUUGAGCUAAUAACGGAUGAGCCCUUAGGGGGAAAGAUUUAUCGCCGAAAGAGCGGCCCGCGUUAGAUUAGCUAGUUGGUGAGGUAAAGGCUCACCAAGGCAACGAUCUAUAGCUGGUCUGAGAGGAUGAUCAGCCACACUGGGACUGAGACACGGCCCAGACUCCUACGGGAGGCAGCGGUGGGGAAUCUUGCGCAAUGGGCGAAAGCCUGACGCAGCCAUGCCGCGUGAAUGAUGAAGGUCUUAGGAUUGUAAAAUUCUUUUACCAGGGACGAUAAUGACGGUACCUGGAGAAAAAGCCCCGGCUAACUUCGUGCCAGCCGCCGCAGUAACGC
rnacentral:rRNA from 1 species